rnacentral:rRNA from 1 species
GUUUAAAAGAUGGUUCUGCUAUCACUCUUGGAUGGACCUGCGGUGCAUUAGCUAGUUGGUAGGGUAACGGCCUACCAAGGCGAUGAUGCAUAGCCGAGUUGAGAGACUGAUCGGCCACAUUGGGACUGAGACACGGCCCAAACUCCUACGGGAGGCAGCAGUAGGGAAUCUUCCACAAUGGACGCAAGUCUGAUGGAGCAACGCCGCGUGAGUGAAGAAGGGUUUCGGCUCGUAAAGCUCUGUUGUUGGUGAAGAAGGACAGGGGUAGUAACUGACCUUUGUUUGACGGUAAUCAAUUAGAAAGUCACGGCUAACUACGUGCCAGCAGCCGCGGUAAUACGUAGGUGGCAAGCGUUGUCCGGAUUUAUUGGGCGUAAAGCGAGUGCAGGCGGCUCGAUAAGUCUGAUGUGAAAGCCUUCGGCUCAACCGGAGAAUUGCAUCAGAAACUGUCGAGCUUGAGUACAGAAGAGGAGAGUGGAACUCCAUGUGUAGCGGUGAAAUGCGUAGAUAUAUGGAAGAACACCGGUGGCGAAGGCGGCUCUCUGGUCUGUUACUGACGCUGAGGCUCGAAAGCAUGGGUAGCGAACAGGAUUAGAUACCCUGGUAGUCC